rfam:Schistosoma rodhaini strain Burundi genome assembly, scaffold: SROB_scaffold0011814
GCACUGCUGAGGAGUCCCAUAAUAGGACGAAGAGGCUGUCCAGUGC